GCAAGCCAGAGCCAGCCUCGGGGUGCGGAGCCCAGCGCGCCCGCCUGGCCGCGGCGCCCGGGUGGGGGCGUCCCCGGCACGGGGUCCCAGACCAGCUUGGGGCGAGGGUGCAUGGUGGGGGAGGGCGGGGGAGAUCCCGGGGCUGUCCGGAGGGGCGGCCGCCUGGGCAAUCCCUCUCUCCGGCCCGCAGCACCUUUGCACUGCCGGUGUUGAGGGCGGCCCAGCCGAGGCUCCGAGAAAAAGGACGCCGCUGGACCCAGUGACUUUCAAUGAGAAUCUCAAGAUCUUCCGUGGGGGAAUUUAGUAUAGACGCAGCGGAAUGAGAGGGGACCAUCCCAGGUGUUGCGAGUCUCCCAGUAGUAUGUUGAGAUGCUUGGGAAAGGGUUCCGAACAGGGGUACCCGCGCUCGCCGCAGUUCCUGCGGGCCACCGACCGGGCGAGACACGUUCGCGCGCGGCGUGGGACUGGUGGCCAAGACCGGGCUCAGCCUGAGGCAACCUCUCAGAGGUUUGUCCCGCGUUUCCAAAGGUUGGUCUAAGACUCCCUCCUUCCAGAGCCCCCACGUGUAGCUAAGCCGCGCACUGCAGGCGCCAAUCCUGAGAAGCAGGUUCCUGGCCCUAGGUGGGCGGAGAGAAGCCCCCGGCCGCCACCCCCGCCCUCAGUUUAAAUCACUCGCGCGCACUAAGCGGGAGAUAGUCCCUGCAGUGUAAAUAAAGAGGAGUUAGCACUGCGGGGAGAAUUGGCUGCAGCUUUGCGGGCGUCCAGAAACACGGUGCCUGCAUAUCUCCAAGUACACAAAUAAUCCCCCAGCUAGGCAAAGUUUGCGUCAAGAAAGUGAGUCUGAAAACGUAUCUACGUUAUCCAGAGACGUGACUUGACGUUUGCUGGAUCCUGGCGCGCCGGCAUCAGUGAGAGCCUCUGUGGGCUAGCACACAAAAUGUGCUGCAACCCCAUUUGGGUGUUUAGCAGGGGAGCUGGUGUCCUGGUGGAUGGCUUCUGAUGCGGAGAUAAGGCAGUUUUCCCAUUUUGGCAAUGGAGGAGUGUUCACCAUAUUUGGAUUUGCUUCAGUUCUCCAACUCUCUGAAUUCGCUCAGCUUCUGUGAAAGUUGGUGAUGGCUGAGAGGGGAAAUUACAAACUUUACCUACAACCAGUUUGACAGCAGAAUUUCUUGAGAAUCAAGAAUCAACACUGGGUUAUUAACUAAAAUUAAGCUUUGAAAGACUGCAGCAGGGGAACAUAGCCAUCUGCAAACUUGAACAUGAAAAAUGAUCUUCCAUCUGGGAGGUCUUCCUCUUCUGAAACCGUCAGGGGUGUGAGAAUGAGCUCCUUCUCAAAGGAACUCACCCAGAGGAGCCAAAUUGUUCUUUUCCAAAAGCAAAGAAGGGAGCUGCUUGCAGCAUCCCUCAUCAACCUCCUCCGGAUGUCACUUGUGUGUAAGCUGUGCCCUCUUCCAGGGCAUCUGGACUGGAAGCUGAAAUCCUGCCUUGGUUCCACUCACCAACGAGCGCCUAUGGGUGCUUGGCUGUUGUCUACCCCAAAAUUGAGGCUCCUUUUUCUCUUUUGUAUCAAGGCACUUUAAAUGAACUGUUGCCAACAACGAUUCACUCACUCCCAUGCCCCAAUUCCAUUGGAGUUAUAUUUCUUACUUUGAAUUGUAAAAGAUCUAAAUUGAAAUUAAUUUUAUAUGUAAAGCUAAAAAUAUUACCAUGUAUGUUUAUGAUGUUUUCUAUGUAUGUAUAUGUGUAAGUAUUACUUAAUUCCAUUUCAACAAAUAUCUAUUAAG